rnacentral:rRNA from 1 species
GACGAACGCUGGCGGCGUGCUUAACACAUGCAAGUCGAACGGUAAGGCCUUUCGGGGUACACGAGUGGCGAACGGGUGAGUAACACGUGGGUGACCUGCCUCGAGCUCUGGGAUAAGCCUGGGAGACUGGGUCUAAUACCGGAUAUGACCUUCUCUCGCAUGGGGGUUGGUGGAAAGUUUUUCGGCUCGAGAUGGGCCCGCGGCCUAUCAGCUUGUUGGUGGGGUGAUGGCCUACCAAGGCGA